rnacentral:misc_RNA from 1 species
AACGCACAUUGCGCCCGCCAGUAUUCUGGCGGGCAUGCCUGUUCGAGCGUCAUUGCAACCCUCAGGCCCUGCCUGGCGUUGGAGGACUGCGCUGCAGCCUCCCAAAGCAAGCGGCGGCGGCGCCCCAAAACCGAACGCAGUAGUUACUUCUCGUUCUGGGUGUGGGACGUUGACCUGCCGGAAAACCCCUUCUUUUUAGUGGUUGACCUCGAAUCAGGUAGGAAUACCCGCUGAACUUAA